CCUACGGGUGACUGCAGUGAGGAAUAUUGGUCAAUGGACGAGAGUCUGAACCAGCCAAGUAGCGUGAAGGAUGACUGCCCUAUGGGUUGUAAACUUCUUUUAUAUGGGAAUAAAAUGUUCCACGUGUGGGAUUUUGUAUGUACCUUAUGAAUAAGGAUCGGCUAACUCCGUGCCAGCAGCCGCGGUAAUACGGAGGAUCCGAGCGUUAUCCGGAUUUAUUGGGUUUAAAGGGUGCGUAGGCGGCCUUUUAAGUCAGCGGUGAAAGUCUGUGGCUCAACCAUAGAAUUGCCGUUGAAACUGGGAGGCUGGAGUACAGUUGAGGUAGGCGGAAUGCGUGGUGUAGCGGUGAAAUGCUUAGAUAUCACGAAGAACCCCGAUUGCGAAGGCAGCUUACUAAACUGUGACUGACAUUGAUGCUCGAAAGUGUGGGUAUCAAACAGGAUUAGAUACCCUGGUAGUC
rnacentral:rRNA from 1 species